GAAGGUCAAGCUGAAGACUUUACCAGACGAGCUGAGAGGAGGUGCAUGGCCGUCGCCAGCUCGUGCCGUGAGGUGUCCGGUUAAGUCCGGCAACGAGCGAGACCCCCGCGCCCAUUUGCUAAGCCGGCUCAUUGAGCCGGCUGCACAAUGGGCGGACUGCCGGCGUAAGCCGGAGGAAGGUGGGGGCUAGGGCAGGUCCGUAUGCCCCGAAACCCCUGGGCUACACGCGGCCUGCAAUGGGUGGGACAAUGGGUACCGAACCCGAAAGGGGGAGGUAAUCCCAGAAACCCACCCUCAGUCGGAAUCGUGGGUUGCAACUCACCCACGUGAAUCGCGGAAUCCCUAGUAAUCGCGCGUCACUAUCGCGCGGUGAAUACGUCCCUGUUCCUUGCACACACCGCCCGCCGCUCCACCCAAGUUGGGCUUGAAUGAGGUAUGGCCUCGAAAGAGGUCAUAACGAAUUCAAGCCCGACAAGGGGGGAGAAGGCGUAACAAGGUUGCCGUAGGGGAACCUGCGGCAG
rnacentral:rRNA from 1 species